AUCACAAAAUCCUCUACAACUUCACCUUUCCACUCUCACAUUCAUAUGAUCCACCAUUCUCGAUUUCUCUCCCACACCAUAACCUCCAUUUUCACCUUUCUUUCUGAAUUCAUGAUUUAUUAUUCAGAACACAGAAAAAAAGAUUAUUAUUCAACACAGAAAAAAUUCGCAGGAUUCAUUCACCAGAAAAAUCACAGGAAACUGACCGGAAUUCAUUACUUUGAUAUCUCUCUGAAAAUCACCUUCAAUCUUCAUCCUCAACCUCCAACGAAUCUUCUCUACAAUCUCUCUUUAACUCUCUCUGAGUUUAUCUGCACUUGA